rnacentral:ncRNA from 1 species
AUCUUCGGGGCGGGGUGAAAUUCCCCACCGGCGGUACAGUCCGCGAGCUUCUCUGGAGCUGAUCCGGUGCGAUUCCGGAACCGACGGUUACAGUCCGGAUGGUAGAAGAG